UACGAAGGGGGCUAGCGUUGUUCGGAAUUACUGGGUGUAAAGCGCACGUAGGCGGAAUGUUAAGUCAGGGGUGAAAUCCCGGGGCUCAACCCCGGAACUGCCUUUGAUACUGGCAUUCUCGAGUCCGGAAGAGGUGAGUGGAAUUCCGAGUGUAGAGGUGAAAUUCGUAGAUAUUCGGAGGAACACCAGUGGCGAAGGCGGCUCACUGGUCCGGUACUGACGCUGAGGUGCGAAAGCGUGGGGAGCAAACAGG
rnacentral:rRNA from 1 species